rnacentral:rRNA from 1 species
AGAGUUUGAUCCUGGCUCAGAACGAACGCUGGCGGCGUGCCUAACACAUGCAAGUCGGACGGAGUUAGUGAAGAGCACAGAGCGGAGCGGGAAGGGGACGCUCAGUUGUGUGCUCUUUGCUAACUUAGUGGCGGACGGGUGAGUAACACGUAGGUAACCUACCCUUAAGCGGGGGACAACUCAGGGAAACUUGAGCUAAUACCGCAUAAGACCACGGGCUGAGAUGCCAGUGGGAAAAGGAGCAAUCCACUUAAGGAUGGGCCUGCGGCCUAUCAGGUAGUUGGUGAGGUAACGGCCCACCAAGCCAGAGACGGGUAGCCGGGCUGAGAGGUUGAACGGCCACACUGGAACUGAGAUACGGUCCAGACUCCUACGGGAGGCAGCAGUGGGGAAUAUUGCACAAUGGGGGAAACCCUGAUGCAGCGACGCCGCGUGGAGGAUGAAGGCCUUCGGGUUGUAAACUCCUUUUGUAGGGGAAGAUAAUGACGGUACCCUGCGAAUAAGCCACGGCUAACUCUGUGCCAGCAGCCGCGGUAAGACAGAGGUGGCGAGCGUUGUUCGGAAUUACUGGGCUUAAAGGGCGAGUAGGCGGUGGGGCAAGUCUGAGGUGGAAUCCUACGGCUUAACCGUAGAACUGCCUUAGAAACUGCUUUACUUGAGUCAGUGAGGGGAGGGCGGAAUUCCUGGUGUAGCGGUGAAAUGCGUAGAUAUCAGGAGGAAGGCCUGUGGCGAAAGUGGCCCUCUGGCACUGUACUGACGCUGAGGCGCGAAAGCGUGGGGAGCAAACAGGAUUAGAUACC